GUCCACGCUGUAAACGAUGUGUGCUAGACGUUGGGAGCGUAGCUCUUCGGUGUCGCCGCAAACGCUUUAAGCACACCGCCUGGGAGUACGGCCGCAAGGUUAAACUCAAAGGAAUUGACGGGGCCCGCACAAGCGGUGGAGCAUGUGGUUUAAUUCGACGCAACGCGCAGAACCUUACCAGCCCUUGACAUGCCCGGUAUGGGGAGGAGAGAUCUUCUUCUUCAGUUUGGCUGGCCGGGACACAGGUGCUGCAUGGCUGUCGU
rnacentral:rRNA from 1 species